AACGAUGCUGUAGUUAACAGUUUUGUUUUUUUUGAAAAAGUCAGACGACCACAAAAAUAUAAUUUGGAAUGCGUAACAGGCAUUGUUGAGAUAGAAGAGGCAUUGCCAAGUGAAAUUUGGAGCAGCAAGUAUGACUCUAAGUACCUCAGUAAAGAUUUUUCAAAUUGGCUAAGAAGACACACAGUUGCGUGUUCAGUUCACACAGGUCUGUAGAGGGUACCGUGCGAAAUGGCUUUCUAGUAACAAGUUCCAGUCUUAGUGAGACCAAAGGUGCAGAAGUGAAAGUUUUCAACACUUCACUUUCUUUUGAAGAUUUCAUUCUUGAGGGACUUCAACAGCACAAUCUCUGGAGCAGCGGAGAAACAGUGACAGUAAUGUUUGUAUUUCUAUGUUAUUCUACACAUGUGCAGGCCCCUAAAGUUGCUGUCAGCUUCAGCAGAAUAAUGAAAAUGUUGGCCGCAUUGCCACCAUUGACAACACAGAAUUUGGACUGUUGAUAUGAACAGGAGAAAAACCUAUUGUACUUGUUUGUUACAUUGCCCCACACAGCAACCAAGGGGCAAUCAUCUCCAUCACUGAUUUAUGGCUGAGAUCUUCUAGCUUCACCUCCUAAUUUUAAGAGAAAAACCAGCUGUCUUCAAGAUCCUGAAUUUGUACAGCAGAAGGUGUUGCUCUGUAAUGCAGCAUCGUCCUGAUUUAUUUUGUAGAGGCUGCAUUGAGGUGUGUUGCUGUCACUGCGACAGCUUAUUCAAGUUCUUCCAGAUACUUUUAUCUCAAGCUAUAUGAGGCACAGUGGUGCAAUUUACACAUUAUUAAAACAGCCAUAUGGCACAUGUAAUUGUACCAUCAAUUCAGUAGUAUCAAUUUAAAUGGAAAAAUGUUCUCCUUAAAGUAGCAUAUGUAUUUUCAAUCUUAGUUAGCAUUCUUGAAGUAAGUAAAACUUUGAGAUACUCAACAGUUAAAAGGAAAGUACUGAAUCAAUGUGUAAUGGCAGGGCUGCAUAAAUUAAUGGGAUCAUGACAGAUCCAGUACUGUUGGCUGUUUUGUUUUGGUAGCUUCAAGCAGAGGUUUAAUAUGCUCAUAUGUUUUGCUGUUUUAGUUUGAAGGCUGUGUCACAGACAUUCAUAACUGUAAAUCUUAUAAUGACUUGCAGCAAGCAGUAGGACAUAUCAUUUGUACUGUGCAACAAUAUGAAGGGGAUAUGAAUCAAAAUGUAUUUUAGAGAUAAGAAUGCAGUAGAUGUUGGCACAAAACAAUAGUUUGCCAAUAAAGAUUAGCUGUUUUUAAAAUAUCCUACUGAAAACACACUAACGAGUAAAUGCAAACGGAGAACAAAUGAAAAAGGAAUGGACCUGAAUGAGCCGGCUAAUUGGGUAUCAUGAUGCAUGAUGUGAGCAUUACGAAUGUGCAUUCCAAUUUCUACAGCUAUCUGUGGUAAUACUUGCA